UUGUACGAUUGGUGUACGACUCAGACGCGAAGAUACACGAGUUUUGAUAGGAGCUGUCGGGGGCCCCCGGCAGGCGGGGUGGCCCCCGAAGCAACGGGGUCGAGACACAUGGGGUGAGAAUGGAAGGACCCGGGGGCCGCGCAUCAGGGCCCGAAGGCCUUGACACGCGUCUUUUCUCCCCUAGGCUGCCGACCGGCGGACCGGCGGCGUUCCAAACCGUAAUGAUCCCUCCGCAGGUUCACCUACGGAGA
rnacentral:misc_RNA from 1 species